AUAGUCCAACUCUCAGACUGCUAUGUCCUGGAGGUAAGGCAGUGGAAUGAACAGUACAAAUCAAUAAAUAACACACACAUCCCUUGAAGUCACACACAGAAGAGUAAGACUCCACCCUCUCUGACUAGCUUAGUGGUAUUGCCAAGGUAACAAGGAGAGCUUCUGUUAUUUACUUGUUAAGAGAAGGCAUUACUAAGCCCAGGAAAAGAUCAGGAAUAGCAAAAAGAAACCUCAUGUUCCAAACGUAGAAUAAUGCACAAGUGAAAACCUGAAAAAAGGAUUAAAAGUUUACUUAAGUCGAAGACAUAGCCCAGCUAUGCAAUGGCAUCCCUUUACGGAAAUAAAAAGGAGAAAAGUCCCUGUCUCCUUUGAUGGCAAGUGCUUACUUAUCUGUAAUCAAACCCCAGACUCCUGAGCACUUGGCGGGCAGUGCACCCAGGAUUAGGCAACCCGCGCCAAGGUCGGGUAGGUCAGCCGCUGCUGCAGACGUGUUCAAGGUGAAGGGCAGCGUGGGCUCUUUCCACGGGUCUCCAUCACCUCGUUCGUGGACGGGCCGAGCCCAAGCGUGAGCACGGGCACAUCCAGGACAGAGGCGGAGGGCACAUUUCAGAACAGAAGGGGGGGCAGCACAAGGUACGACACAAGCAGAAGAUCUGACACAAAUGCCAGAGCCCAGCGCGAUCUCUCCACAGCAAAGUUUCCGAGCUGUAAGAGAGAGAGCACCGAACUGGACCCUCCUCUGACCGCAGGGCUGACGGGAGGACACAAGAGACAACAAAUACAAAAGGAGAUGUUUAAAAAGGGUUGUUAUGAGGACUGCCUGACUUCGUAUGUGUACAGAGGUUGGAACGGGACUGGUCAACGUACCCGCUCACACAUGCUGCUACCAGCUAUUAUAUGCCAUUACCAUGACAAGUCUCCAAACGUGCCCCAUUUCCACACACAUCUGCACACGCUUCCGCUGCCUGGAAUGUCUUCCCUGCUUAGAGCUUCUGCGUGGUCUCAGUGACCUAGUCCACACAUCACCUCCCCUACGAAGCCCGCCUUGCUGUCCCCCCCACCCCAGCAGACUCAGUUACCGCCACCCACGUCUCCGAGAGCCUUGCAUCUUAUUGCACUUAUCGCUGACUGCCAACUUCCCCACCGGGCGAAACUCCUCCCACGGAGACCGGGACGUACUAAGUGUAUCCCCAGGCCUUAGAACAGCACUCCACACGCAGAAGCGUUCAAUACACAUUUGCUUAAUGGUACCAGUAACUAUUUAGAAUGUAACCUAACACAUCAAGUGUAACUAGGAUAGAAAUCUGCUGGUUGUAGGACAAAUGCGUGACUUUGACUAAAUACGAAAACAAUUUCUAAUACCCUAUUUUAAUACAGUCAGUCAUGUUAACAUUCCCCCCAGGCAGGUCCGGUGAGCACACAGUGCGUCCUGGCACCGCUAGUGGGGGCAGAAGUGUCAGAGUCCACGCGGUGAUGAUCACAAUACCAGCUUUCAGCAAUUCAGAAGUUCAUCUCCCGCCUCAAUCCACACAAAGUGAUCUGUGUUUGGUACCAGGGGAGAGAGUGGGUUGAACAACGAACUCUGAAACGGCACCAGCGUAGCACUGCAUAUGGCAAAGAGCAAGAAGGAAACGGGGAACCUUUUCUGAUCCUACUCUUAAACUCAUAAGGAAAUAGUGAUCAAAAGGCGUCACCAAGGCCACUGAGAGGGGGAUGGUUUCUGAGCUCGUCAGCAUCCUAAGGGAAACCCAAGCACCACCACGCCACGCCCAGCGGGCCUGGGGAGUCUGCCCCUCUGCCCAGACCCCUGCCAGGCAAGCUACGUGCUGCGCCAGACACGACACUCCCUCUGACGGAAGCGCCCUUGUCCCCGGGGACACCGGGCUGCCCAGCGCGCCUGGCACCCCGUCUCCUAAAGAAGCCAAAACUGUUUGGGAAGAACAGGCUGGUGGGGGAGGGACUUCAAAGUAACUAAAUGAUGAACAUUUCCUGAAAGGCAAUUUAAUGCCAUCAGAAUCAGUCAAAUGUUGUAACCGUUGUAACAACUAUGAAGAGAGUCCAGUGAAGCCCCAGAUCACCGUCUACCAGGUGACGCUAACAUGAUGUCACACGGAGGAGGAGCCUUUCAUUUUCUAAGUUAACGUCACAUUUCUAAAAUCCCAGCUUGUUGCUGUGGAAAGGACAUUACAAUUUGUUUGUCCUUGGUUUUUGUGUUUUUGCUUUUUCUGGUGUGUGUAUGUGAGUGUCUGUGUUUGUAUGUAUGUGUGAAUGUGCUGUGUGUGUGUGUCUCUCUGUGUCUAGGUCUGUGUGUGUGUGUGUGUGUGUGUGUGUGUGUAAUGUGUAUGUAGGGGGGUGUCUCUGUGUGUGUAUGCGUGUAUAAGUAUGUGUAGGUGUGGGUGUGGGUGUGAUGUACCGACCGAGAAUUGUCAGUUUCUCCAGAGGCCUCUUUCCUUCUUUUAGGCCAUGAGAUCAUAUCCGAUGAAAAUCUGCUGAAUUUAAGGAACAGAAAACAACAUAUAGAAGAUAUUUCUGUUAGGACUAUGCCGAAUUCUUGUCAUUGUCAUUGUUAUUACUAUUAUUAUCGAUAUCAUUUUCUUCAGUGCCUGGAAAUGGCUUCAUGUAUAGUGUCUGAACAUUGCUUAAUCUGGACACUCUGAUGAUUGCUAAUUCUUAACAAGGCAAUUCUAGACACAUCAUAUCAACAACUUUUUUAUUCCAAUAAUAUAUUACUGUAAUAAGGUUGAUCAAUAGGAUUGGGUUUUAUUGUGUUUUAGAGCCAGAUUAAUUUCAGUGGAAUAAUAAGAUAUAAGUAAAUUAUAAUAUAAUGCCGUUCAUUUUACCAAAAUAGUCAAUAUUUAAAUAUAUUCCCAUGGGUCGUCUCAACAGUCCUCUAAGGAAGGGAAAGGUUGGCAAAUAACGUUAACAAUGGCGACAGCAGCCAAUACUUUUUGAGGACUGCUUGAAGCUGGGCAUGUGGACAAGAGAUGGGAAGAGAACGGAGCGCAAAGAAGACCUAGCACCAAAAAGCUCUGAGACAUUCCAGGGUGCACGCCUUGAGCCUGGCGCCUGAAACCACUCGGCCGUCCUGACACGCUGCGUGAGACAUUCCAGCCUUUAAAACCCAAGGAGAAAAGGACACGCAAGCGAGGAAGGUGCAACCGGAGAAGGAAAGAGAGAAACGCUGACCACGGAAGCCCCAGAAUCAAAAGGGCUCAGGAAGGAAGGAGAGAGUGGCCGAUGCUGCCGAGCGCCGGGCGAAACGAAGAACGGAAACGUCGGCGUCGGGCGCGCCCACUGGCCUCAGACGCCCUCGGCACGACGUGCUUCGACGCAGCAACGAGGCAGAGGUGAGACCCGAAUGGAAUGACGAGCGAGUGGAAAGGAAAGCACGCGUCAGACAGCUUGCCCAAGGUCACAGGCUGAAAAGGAAGAUGGCAGCAUUCAAACCCACCCGUCUGCCCCUGAGCCCCCUCACUGAACCAGCUCUCAGCCCUGCGCCCCAACAGCCCCGCGUCAAAGCUCCUUAAAGAGCUCUAUCUGGGGCGGCGCUGGAGACAAAGCCGGGUGGGAGACUCUGUGCUGGGAGGCAGGGCAGUAGGCGGCGGCAUCAGCUGUGGGAGAGAGAGGACAAAGCGUGGCGCCGAGAAGGGCAGGAAAGCGGAGAGGUGUGAAAUGACCUUUUCGGGGAAGGGGCGGUGAGCUGACCAGGGAAAACAUAACAGCAUUUCCAGACAAUGCGCACCGUUCCAGGGUACUGGCUGCACCAAUUUACACUUGCUCCCAACUGCCUCUGAAAGUCUCUGUUGCUCCACAUGCUCAUCUGCACCAGCUACUGUCAGGUUCUCUAUACCGCUGACUUCUCAGGCCAAAACCGAUAUGGUUCCCAAAUCGACUACUUGCUGUCCUCAGACAAUGCCAACAGUGCUGCACUGAAUUCUUCGUGAGUAGUUGUAGAAUAUCAAAGCCCAGGUAGCAUAUCGCUUGAUGUUUGGGGCUUGUGCGUGACGAACUUCACAUCAGCUUUAUGGAAAUCAAGAGGGGACUGGACACGCCUGUUGCAGAAAACCUUCCUAGCUUCGCACCAGACAACUGGGUCUCAGCAAUUCAUGUUUGCGCAGCUCCGUCUGCAUCUCAUCUCAACCCUGUACAUCUUCUCCCGCGGCCGUCCUCCCUCAGCAGGCUGUUCCCAGGAAGCAUGGACAAUGCAAUACUGACUCUCCUGCUUGGAAGGAGUCUUGAAGCUGGUCCAAAAGCACAGAGAAGGAUACACUGCUAAGCUAGAUGCAGUUUUUCCAUUAGCUCAGGAAAAACACUAAUGGAAAUUCUCAAGUCUUCACUGAAAGCCCAGAUAAGCAGCAACCUGGCCAGAAAGCACUGCCCCCUGAGUCUUGGCUGAGGUCACAUCAAAACCGCUGGAUACAUCUCUCCACUGGGGCCACAGCAGCCUUAGGCUGGAAACACUAGGUAAAUAAUGAAACUACUUCGCCCCCACCUGAGCCUUCCACCUGCCACAGUGUGACUCUGAAAGCGACUUGACAGACAGCCUGCAAAGCUCGAAGGCUCUGUGUCUCCAAAUCUUGAUUGUUUGGUAGUUGAGCAGAAUUUACAAUAAUUAAAUUUAUGCAGCUGGAUGCUGCUGACUUAGAGUCGAGUCCUAAGCUAAUUUUUUUUUCCCAUUGUUUAAAGCAAAGCAUCUUGGGAAUUCCCUGGCAGUCCAGUAGUGAAGACGUGGCGCGUACACUGCGGUGGCCCAGGUUCAAUCCCUGGUCAGGGAACUAAGAUCUGCCAAGCCACACAGCCAAUAAAUAAAUAAAUUAAUUGAUUAAUUAAAAAUGAAACAUCUUGGGUCUUCCCUGGUGGCGCAGUGGUUAAGAACCCGCCUGCCAAUGCAGGGGACACAGGUUCGAUCCCUGCUCUGGGAAGAUCCCACAUGCCAUGGAGCAACUAAGCCCGUGCGCCACAACUACUGAGCCCGCGCUCUAGAGCCCGUGAGCCACAGCUACUGAGCCCAAGAGCCACAACUAUUGAAGUCCGUGCGCCUAGAGCCCGUGCUCCGCAACGAGAGGCCACCACGAUGAGAGGCCUGUGCACCGCAACGGAGAGUGGCCCCCGCUUGCCGCCACUAGAGAAAGCCCCAUGCCAAGCAAUGAAGACCCAAGGCAGCCAAAAAUAAAUAAAUUUUAAAAAAUUUUAUUUAAAGAAAAAUGAAACAUCUUCUAUUUUUAUUUAUUUAUCUUUUGGGGGGGCUGUGUCGGGUCUUAGUUGUGGGGCACGAGGGAUCUCUUGUUGCGGCGCGCAGGCUUAGCUGUCCCGCGGCACGUGGGAUCUUAGUUCCCCAACCAGGGAUUGAACCCGCGUCCCCUGCGUUGAAAGACGGAUUCUUAACCGCUGGACCACCAGGGAAGCCCCGAAACAUCUUUUAUUUUAGCAGUAACAAAUAAGAUCUGAGAAAGCCACAAUCCAGGCAGUAAGUUAUCACUGGCAUUCAAACCUAAUUAAAUUGUGUUAAGAUGGGGCUAAACAGAUGCAAAACAGGACUGUCUGGAGGCACUACCGGCAACUACUAAAAGCAGGACAGGGUAGACAUGGGCCUCCUCAUCUCUGGCCAACGACAGUAGUCAUGAAGAUGCAACACCCAGUCAAGACUUCCAGUCGAGGUGUGGUCAGGCUUCCAAGCACGCGACCCCCAGGGGGCCUGGGAGGGAGGCGGCAUUCCAUCACCCUGCUCCUCGUGAGCGAGACCCCACGGGAAAGGAGCGGGACGACCCCCCUGGGGAGUGUGCUCGGAGAAAGGAGGCGAGAUGCUCUCACUCCAGCUAAACUCCCCCACGGUCUAGUCGCUCCCCAAGUGCCCCAGCAGAAAAGCAUCAUGAUUCCUAGGACUGCAGGGCCCUCUGCCUUCAGGUCAGCUUGACGUUCUAUUCCAAAUAGCUGAGAAGGUCCUACAACCUUUCUGAAAAUUCAGUUUAGAAAACUGGGGUCUAACUUUAUCUAACCUACAGCUAGCUGGGCUUUACAUCCUUAGGGAAUAAGGAAAAAUACAGACCUGAGGCCCCGUAGUGACCAAGGACUUGGGGGAUAGUGAUACUUACAUACCAGUCUUAGCUCCUCUGAGAGAUGGAGAUAACUGACCAGAACAUAACAGGAAGAAGACGCAAUGCUAAAGCCCAUCAGAGGGACUUCCCUGGCGGUCCAGUGGUUAGGUCUCGGUGCUCUCACUGCCGGGGCCGGUUUGACCCCUGGUCAGGGAACCAAGAUCCUGCAAGCCGCACAGCACAGCAAAACAAAACAAAAACCACACCAGAAAAUCAAGUUUUUUAGGAUUUUGACUUUUCUGUUUUUCUAUUUGAGAUGCAAAUGCACAUCCCAUCCAAGUUCUCUGCAGCACACGAUGUUCCUUGUUACCAAGAACCAUGCCCGACAAGCAAUAAAUGCUCAAUAAACAGGUAUCUAAGGAAAUGCCCAGAUGAAUGAACGACUGAACAACCCCCCUCCCCUUCUUUAGCUUCCGCAAUGUGCUAACUGGCUCCCGGUUUCCCCUCUGACAGCUCUUCCUCUUCCUUUCCUCAACAUGCAAAUUCCCCAGGGGUAGCCCCGGGUCUUCUGCUCUCCCAACACUGAGAGAGCCCAUCUUCUUCCAGAACCUUCCCAGGCACUGAUUCACUGUUUUCAAGCAGUGUGCUGGGCACUAAGGAGAAAGGAUGGUUGAGACGCGCUCUGCGGGCAGGGGCUCGUGGCCUAGCACGAGACAAGGCAAGGAUGAAUCUGUGGGAGACACUGUCACAUGCGGCUGCUAAAGCAGCAUCCGGAGCACGAUGCUAUGAGAGCAAGAAGGAAGGACAAGUUCUGAAAGGGUUGAGUCACCGAGGAGGUGACAUCUGAGCGGAGCCCUGAAGGACCGAGAGGGCUUUACAGGUGUAGAAGAGCAGAGGGGGCAGCUAGGCAGACAGAAGAGCACAGCAAAAGUUCAGGAGGGCCGGGCGGGCAACGCUAGGGAGCACCUCGCAGGUCUGUGAGGGUGGCUGCGGGGCAGAGGGAGAGAAACUGGUGAGACGGCUUGGAAACAGUUUAGAUGCCACGUUGUUAGCCUUUUUACCUGCGUUCCAAGGGUUUCAAAACGCAAAGCUGCGUCAGAACUGCCUGGGAUGCAUGGUAAAAAUACAGAUUACUGGGCUGUGCCCCAGAGCUACCGAAUUGGAAUUUCCAAAGGUAGGGCCCAGGCAUCCGUAUGUUAAUGAAUACUAUGGUAUACAGUUAGAUGUAGCAACCAUUGAUAAUGUUUUAAAUAAAAGUUGCAUUAUCAGACUGGUCUUUUAAAGAUAACUCUGAAGGUCCUACUAAAAUGGACCGUAAAUGUGCGAAAUUAGAAAAAGGCAGACCUACAGCAGACUACGGUAAUGAUGCACUCACUGAUGCCACAAGCACUCAGAAAACGUGUGCCUGCAGUUCACAGGAGAGAGGACAGCCCGGACAGGGCCCCCGCAGUGUGAAUGGAGACGUUUAAAAGGCAGACCUGCAGCAGGUCCUGAUGAGGCAGCAGAUGGCAGGGGAAGGCGGAGAGCGAGCGAGUCUCUGUUUCCAUCAGUGACUCCCAACGUGGAUAAGCACAGAAUAAAGGGCCCCUGGGUCCUACCCCAGACCUACCGAGCGAAGGGCUCUGGAGGGUUGGGCUCAGGAGUUUCUGUCUUCAACACGUGCCCCGCAUGAUUCUCACGCGGUCAGCCAGGCAGCGACGUGGGACAGACCACUGGGAACCGAUGUCUUAGAUGAUAACUUCCUCCCCCGAGGACAAGACAGGAGGAACAAGUUUGUGACUGGCAUGAAAACAGUUGUGCUCUGGAAACACCAAGACUGAGAUAAACCUGAGUAACACAUCUAGAUCGUGAUGUCUAGUGGACAGUUAGAAAUAUAAACCUGGAGUCCAGAAAAAAGAUCAACUACACAGAGGUCGGGGUUGGACAGAUCUGGACACCAUUCGUGCAUAAGCUACGGAUGAGGCCCUGGGAGUGGGUAAGGUGACAGAUGGAGAAAUGAUGGACGGAAAAGUGCGCUGAGAAUGGACAUCUGGGAAGAGAGUGGGCAGUGGAGGGUUUAGAGUAAAGGAAGUGCAGGAGGCUGAUUCAGGAGGUUAGGGAAGGGCUGGGAAAGCAAUGCUUCAGAAGCCGAAGGACAAGAGUUUUCACCAAUAAAAGGAAUCAUGUGGACAAAAUAUUAUAAAAUGGUCCAAAAGGAAAGAAACGAAGAACAAUGAUAAGGUGAGGCAUUUAGGAAGUCUGUGGUAACCUUUAAGAAAGCAGUUUCCGUAGAAUGGCAGGAAUUAAACUAGAAGAGCAGUUAUACACCACUUCUUAAAGAGAAUUUGAGGACGAAGGGAAAAAACAUGAAUCGGUGGCUGGAAAAAGAGAGACAGUUCUUUUGGAGGCCAUUUUUAAGAAUGGAGACAACUUGGGGUGUUUUAAAGAAGGAGACAGGAAGGGAGAGGAGCGUGGGGCACACGAGAAGAGACGGUGGGCCGAGCAACAUUCCAGAUGAGGCAGGGAGGGUGGCAGCAGCCUCUAAGAGGAGGCUGGAAGGAGGAAUGACAACAGAGAGGGUCUGGAGGGACAGACGGGAGCGCUGGACACGUCUGUGUUGUUGCUGUUGCUGAGUAAAUGGCGACCAGGUCACCACGCUUGUUAGGGCAGAAGUGGGGCCGGGCUGGGGCAGGAAAAGGAGCCGCCGAGUCCCUGGGGAUGACGAAAACACUGGCGGGCGGCAAUGAAGGCCCAGAGGAGGCAUGUCACUUCAUUUAACCAAUACAUACAUAAGCACUCUUGGCGGCAGGCGGCGCUCUGAGCGCUUCACACGCAUUAACUCAAUUACCCCUCGUGACAGCUCUGCGUGUGGAAGGCUCAGUAUCCUCAUUCUACCUACGGAGAAACAGGCACAAAGGCUUUAGGGGACCUGCCUGAGCUCGGAAGUGGCGGGACCAGGACUGACAUCCGCGUGGUCUGGGCCCAGAGUCCUGCUCUUGACCACUCUGCUGCUUCUCCAAUACAACACCCGUAUGUUUGUAAUGUAGCCAAGAGGAAAUGGGGUAAACUUCCUCCUGCGCGCCGAGGAGCUUAGGAAAGCAGGGCUGGGAGGAGGCGGCGGAAGUGCUGUGAACAGCACACACGAAAGGAAGUUGGGCUCACUUAUGACAGGACGGUUGCAGUAACAGUGGACUUCCCACCAGUCCAGCGGAUUCCGACUUCAAAUUACACCUCAGCCCCCGAGCUCCUCUCCGAGUUCCAACUGUUCGACGCACCCUCGUGGUCUGGCCUCUCACAACCCUACCUCAAGCUGUAAAUGCCCGAGGCCAGGCUCUGCUUCUGCCCCACAUCAGCUUCCCCGUGCCUUCCCCAGGUCUGUCACGGCACAGUGUAGCGAGAAAGCUGCACCAGAGAGGACUUUCUCACCAUUUUCCCCAGCACCUAGUUCAGUAUCGGGCACACAAUGGAUGCUUAAUAAAUAUCUGUUGAAUUUCAGUUUAUUCUCCAAAUCUUAAAAUUGUCUCUGACUUUGGCUUCUCCUGCUUUCUACAUCCAGUAGGUCUCAACAUCCUGUGUUUUGCCUGCAUGCCUACUCAUACCUUACUGUUCUCUUAACCCCUUUUCACUACUGCUGUAGAAGCUAUUCUAAUAAGCUACUCUGCAUCACAGUUUCUGCUUCUCCCUUCUCAAUCCAAUACAAUCUUACCAAAUUAAUCAUUUAAAAUACUAUCCUUCUCACAUCACUCUUCUGCUCCAAAAUAUUCAGUCUCUUGAUUCAAGCAGCAGUUAUGAGAUGCCCAACCUGCCAGAAACUGUGCCCUUUCCAACUGAAAGUAACCCCUAUUUCCUCAGAACACCCACACUAAUUGUCUAUUCGUUCCAGUUACCCCAUCUUAAACGGCGAGUCAUUAUUUUCUCACGUAAUAACGUCUUAUCUCACCCAAAGGUGUACGAGUUCUUGAGGGAGGAGGCGUUUCUUUUACUCUUUCCCCUACUGGACCUGCAGCACGUGCGGGGCACAGAGCGGCACUCUGCCGCCCCGACCAGCAGCGCCCAGCAGUCAGAACGAGAACAGACACAUCGUCCUUGCUGGAUUCUGGUUUGGUCCAUUAUC